ensembl:lncRNA
GAUGGAGCCAGCGACUUUUUCCUACCCUCAGCCUUUGUGCACGCAGAACAAUUCUGCCACGCAUCCCGAGUUCCUAUUCAAUUACACCUGCAAACCUGAUGCUGCCCUCCAGGUUCAAGACAUCAAAUUCCCGCCUGCUAGCGUUUUCCUUAAUUGGGCAUUUCCCCUCCCGCAAUAAGGAAACCGGUCUUUGGAGUCUUAGGAAUGACGGCCUCUGUAGAUCAUAAACACCUGUUCUACACUGCGGCCCUAGAAGGGAGGAGAAGCGGUAGGCGCGGCCACCGCGACAGAGCAGUGACGUCACCGGAGCGGCCAUUUUCUUCUGCGCCUGCGCUGCGGCCCCAUUGCUUUCGCGUCCGGCCGGCGGGAGGGGGCCCCAUGUUGACUAUUGGCGGACGCGGGCUCAAAGGCCCCACUGAGAGUGCGCACACCCGGCCGCUGCAGCCCUUUGGGCUGCGGAGCCUGAGUUGGUCCCAAAGCGGAAGUGCUUCUCCGGCGCUAGUUCUCGUAACUGUCUCCUCUGCACCGAGCAGAAAAUCUGUUGUCGAGAAAGAGGUUGAGGGAGCGAGUGCACAGUGACCUGCGCUAAGGGUUCAUACACAUCCUCAAGCUUCUGCCUAGGUGCCCCUACCUCUCCUGCCCGUAUCCCCUUUUCCGAGCCCCCUAGGUAGGGGCCUGUUUUGAAUGCUCCACUUGAAGUGAAUCUGCACCCGAGGGCUUCCUUCUGACUCCUGGGCGAGACGGCCCCAGUGAGGUGAGGAGAAGCAAGAAGAGGCACCUGAGUACUCACCCAAUAAAGGGCCUAGCCCAGAGUUUGGGGCUUGGGAAGGUCGGGCAGGGACUGGUGGUAUGGAAUCUGGGGGAUCUGGCUUAAAACGCAUGGGAAUAAUAAUUUUAAAGUUCAAUUUCUUUUUGGGAUUUAAAAGUAGGUAACAUUUGCAUUGUAGAUUGAUUAGCAAUGAGAGGAGAAGAAAAUAAAAAGGAACUAAUUUUAUGCCCCUAUAUUUAUAUUGUAAUUCUUAGACAUUUUGUAGUGUGUAUAAGGUGUAUGCAUUUUUAAACAUUUAACGCAUGGGUUCCUGCAGUUCCAUAACUUAGCUUUUUUUCAUUUAGAAGUUACUAUGAUUCAGCUUAAAAAUUUAUCGUAUAACAUUUAAAAUACUUGUAAUUUAGAAACGUACAGAAAAAUAAACAGAUAAUAAGUGUACAGUUCCAUACAAGAUUAUUUUUAAUAGCUACAUAGAAUUUAAUCCCUUAUUAUGGAUUAUAAAUUUGGCAUUGUUAAAAGUCAAUGCUGAGAUGAAGCUACACUUAAGGAGAAAUUGCGAUCCAUUAUUUAUUUCAUUAAGGAAAAUACCUAGAAGUACAAUUUCUGAGUCAGUACACAAGUAUAUCUACAGAAGAAAACUUUUGUUUUCGCAUGAGAAAAAGACUCAAGAAUACACAAGUGGUUGUUAAAACCACAUGGUUUCCCAAACUUCCACAGAGCAGCCAUGUGCCCAGCUGGUGUGAGGGGAUUUCUAGGCAGAUAUUUCUGGGCACUGGAAGCCUGAUGGGGUCUCUCAUAUGCUCUACACUUCUCCACUCUUCUAGCUCAGUCUUCACACAUCUCUUGUUUUUUCCCAAGAAGAGGAGGGAAUGGCCGAACCCCAGGUAAGGAUGUUGUCUCUUCCUUUUAUUUUACCAUGGAUGUGUUCAGUGAUAUAGGAAUCUCAAACAGAAAAUAGAUUAUUUAUAAGUAAGUGUUAAUACCAGGGAAGAUGAGAGACAGCAAAGGCCAAAUUAAAAUGUAGACACAUGACUUAGGGUGUAACAGACAGUUACACAUUACAGUAUUAGUCUGGCUCCAUUUACUCUUCCAAGAGAACACAUCAAGUCCUCAGGGAAGUAAAGGUUUCCUUCAGUUGCCUUUCAAGUCAUUUCUUUGCUGAAUCUUCCUUUAGGUGGUGGAGUUGUCUUCAAUCACAGACUAAUCUGCAUUUCUCUAAUGGCCAGUGAUAUUGAAUAUCUUUAUAUAGGCUUAUUUACUUUUUGCAUAUCCUCUUUGGUGAAGUGUCUGAUCAAGUCUUCUGCGCAUUUUUAAAUUGGAUUGUUUUUCUCAUGAUUGCAUUUUGAGAGUUCUUUGUAUAGUCUGUGUACAAGUCCUUUGUCAGAUACAUGGUUUGUAAAUAUUUUCUCCAAGUGUGUGGCUUGUCUUUUAAUCGUGUUGUUCACAGAGCAAGAAUUUUUAAUUUUGAAAAUGUCCAUUUUAUGAACUAUUUCCUUUAUGGGUUGUGCUUUUGGUGUUGUUGCAGGAAGGGGGACCCCUUCCAGGGCCCGAAACUGGGCUCUUGUCUAACACUCGGAAAUGAACUGUCCAAGGAGACACAUGUGCUGACAACGCAAGAGAUUUUACUGGGAAAGGGCACCGGGUGGAGAGCAGUAGGAUAAAGGAACCCAGGAGAAUAUUCUGCUACAUGGCUUGCAGUCUUGGGUUUUAUGGUGAUGGGAUUUUAUGGUUUCCGGGUUGUCUUUAACCAGUCAUUCUGACUCAGAGUCCUUCCUGCUGAUGCAUGCCUUGUUCAGCCAACAUGUAUGCCAGAGAGGAUUCUGGGAGAUGGUCGGACAUGUGGUGUCUCCUUUUGACCUUUCCUGAACUCUUCUGGUUGGUGGUGGCUUAUUAGUUCCGUGUUCCUUAGCAGGACCUCUUGUGGUAAAACAGAUCAUGCAAAUGGUUACUAUGGUGCCUGGCCAGGGUGGGCAGUUUCAGUCAGUGUGCUUCGCCUAACAGUGUCAGGUCUAAGAAGUCUUUGCCUCACCCUAAUUAAAAUGGAAAAACUCUAGUCUUGUAUCUCCUAUGUAGAGAAAAGCUCAGUUCUUUCCUACUGUGUCACUCCCAUAAGUUUUCCUUUACUCUCACAAAUAACACUUCUGAUACUUCUGGUCACCAAAUGUGUGGUGGAUUCCCCCCACAGCAAGCAAAUCUCUGACACCAGCUGGGUGUUCUACAACUUAAUACUGACACUGUCUACCUGGAGAUUGUGUCAGAUCCUAUAGGUUAAGGGCUCAGUUCCACAAGACGGCCCCACCUCCCAACUUAAGAUGCUGGUCAAAAGCCCAGUGCUUAUCACCUGUGCUUCUGUACAACCAGCUAUUGAUCAGAGCUUCCAGUGACCCCCUCUUCGAGUUAGAUUCAUAUGCUACAAUGGCUCACAGAACUCAGGGAAACAUGUUUCCCAGUUUAUUAAAGGAUAUAUUAAAGUAUACAGAUGAACAUGCAGAUGGAAGAGAUAUGUAAAGGCCAAGUAUAUGGGGAAGAGCUUCCACACCUUCUCUAGGUCCAGGUGUGUCACUCUCCUAGCACCUCCAUGUGUUUACAAUUCAGAAGCUCUCAGAAUCCAGUCCUUUUGGAUUUUUAUGCAGACAGGGAAGCCUGGCGUGCUGCAGUCCAUGGGGUCACAAAGAGUUGGACACAACUGAGCAACUGAACUGAACUCUUUACAUAGGCAUGAUUGGUUAACUCAUUGGCCAUUGGCUUUGUUGUUGUUAUUUAUUUAGCAAUUGACUUUUGAUUUAACCUCCAGUCCCUCUCCCCAUCCCCAAGGUUAGGGGGUGGGAGUAAAACUUCCAGUCCUCUAGUCACGUGGACCCCCUCCUUAGGUGGGGUCCUAAAGUCAUCUCAUUAAUAUACCAAAAGACACUUUUAUUGCUUUCCUUGCUUGAGAUACUCCAAGGGUUUCAGGAGCUCUUUCUGCCAGAAUUUGGGAGCUAAGACCAAAAAUUAAUUUCUUAUUAUGAGUCACAAUAUCACAUGAUGUCAUGAAGAUUUUCUCCUAUUGUUUAUAAUUUUAGGUUUACUCAAGAUUUAGACUCAAGAUCCAUUUUGUGUUAAUUUUUAUGUAAGGCGUAAGGAUUAGGUCAUGGUUCAUAAUUUUGCAAAUGGAUUUCUAUUUGUUCUAACCCCCAUUUGUUGAAAGGACCAUCUUUUCUCCAUUGAAUUGAUUUUAUGGUUUUGUCAAAAAUCAGUUGCCCAUAUUUGUGGGAUCUAUCUCUGGACUGUCUUCUGUUCUAUUGAUCUGUGUAUCUAAUCCUCCGCCAGUACCACACUGUCUUCAUUACUGCAGCUUUAUGAUAGGUCUUGAAAUCAAGUAGUAUGAUUUCUCCAACUUUAUUCAACCUUUUCAACAUUUUUUGGCUAUUCUUGUGCCUUUGUCUUUAUAUGUACAUUUCAGAAUAAUCUUGUUUACAUGUCUAAAAAUGAUCUUGCUGGGAUUCUGAUAGGAAUUGAGUUAAACCUAUAGAUCAUUUUGGGGAGACUUGAUGUCUUUAUUAUGUUGUGUCUUCCAGUCCAUGAACACAGUAUUUAUUUAUCUCUCCUUUUAUUUAUUUAGAUAUUCAUUUACUGGCUCCAUCAACAUUUUAUAAUUUUCAGCAUACAGAUUCUGUGUAUGUGUAUCAGUCUGCUCAGGCUGUCAUAGAAUGCCACAGACUUGGUGGCUUAAACAACAGAGAUUUAUUUUUUCACAGUUCUGGAGGCUAGAAGUCCCAGAUCAGAGUUGGUUUUGGUGAGGAAAUUCUUCCUGGCUUAUCGCCAGCUGCCUUCUCACUGUCCUCGCAUAGUCUUUCCUUUGUGCAUCUGCAGAGUGAGAGGAAGCUCUGGUGUUUCUUCCUGUUUUUAGGACACCAAUCCUGUUGGAUCAGGUCCCACUCUUAUGACCUCAUUUAACCUUAAUUACCUUCUUAAAGCCCUGUCUCCAAAUACAGUCACACUGGGGGUUUGGGCAUUCAGCUUAAGAAUUUUAGUGGAGACACAGUUCAUUCCACAACAAUAUGGCAUGCUUCAUUUUUUAAGCCACUGUAAAUGGUUUUGUUUUUAAAAGUUCAGUUUCAAGUAUUCAUUGCCAGUAUAUAGAAAUAUGAUUGAUUUUUUUGUUUGUUGACCUUUGCUAUGGUCUGGAUGUUUGUGUGCCCCCAAACUUCACAUGUUGGAAUCCUAAUGCCCAAGGUCAGUGAUGGUAUUAGGAGGUGGGGCUCCCUCUUCUUUAUUUAUAUCAUUAAUACAGAAUUUUAAUUUUUAUGGAUUUUAACUUUUUCAGUAGAUUAUAACCUAUUAUAAUUGUCAUUAUUUAUUUUGCUGCUCACUUGCCCUGAGUUAUCCAGGGGAUCCGCUAGCUGGCUUU